rnacentral:lncRNA from 1 species
AUUCUUAGUAGUGCACAUGAGGCAAUGAUUGGAUGGCUGUUUUAUGUUUGAAUGCAGUGAGUUAUAUACAUUAAACAUACAGCGCCAUCUUCUUGUUUCUCGUCUUACUCUCUUACAUUAUUAUCACUUCUCUAUAUUCUUAGAGUUUAACUAUUGGCAUCCACUUAUUUCUUCAUUGUGCAAACAUGAAGUACAGUAUUAAGAACGGGCACCCUUUCUGGCUUCUGGCUACUUUUUAAUGACUAAAGCACAGAUUGUCUGG